rnacentral:rRNA from 1 species
UCUGCCUUGGAGUGGGGAAUAACGGUUGGAAACAGCCGCUAAUACCGCAUGAUGCAUUGGAGUCGCAUGAUUUUGAUGCCAAAGAUUUAUCGCUCUGAGAUGAGCUCGCGUCUGAUUAGCUAGUUGGCGGGGUAACGGCCCACCAAGGCGACGAUCAGUAGCCGGACUGAGAGGUUGGCCGGCCACAUUGGGACUGAGACACGGCCCAGACUCCUACGGGAGGCAGCAG